UACGUAGGGGGCAAGCGUUGUCCGGAAUCAUUGGGCGUAAAGAGCGUGUAGGCGGCCCGGUAAGUCCGCUGUGAAGUCCAGGGCUCAACCCUGGGAUGCCGGUGGAUACUGUCGGGCUCGAGUCCGGAAGAGGAGUGUGGAAUUCCUGGUGUAGCGGUGAAAUGCGCAGAUAUCAGGAGGAACACCAAUGGCGAAGGCAGCACUCUGGGACGUGACUGACGCUGAGACGCGAAAGCGUGGGGAGCAAACAGG
rnacentral:rRNA from 1 species